rnacentral:lncRNA from 1 species
CAGAAUUCUGAAAGAGAGUGGCACCUGGAGAAGACUAUGUGUGAGCCGAUGAAUCCUUCUGGGUCUGCUGGGCAUGAGGACAGAGUCUCUGGGAAGAGGAUGGCUUCUGUGAUAACACUCCACUUGGUUAUCCUACUAAAGACCUAAGGACAAGGAAGCCAUUCUCUGUCUGCUGGACUUGGGUCUAUCACGCUUUGAAAGUUCAAAGUCAGAAAAGCAUGAUAGCAUGCUCCUAAUAAUCUCAGACCCUAAGAGGCUGAGACAGAAGAAGUUACGGAUGGUUGUGUGUCACCCUGUGGGUGCUGGGAGUAGAAUACUCAAAAGUAGCAAGUAUUCUAACCCACUGAGCCACCGUUCCAGCCCCAUUGUUUGUUUGUUUGUUUGUUUGUUUGUUUGUUUGUUUGUUUUGGAGGUAGCGUGCCAUACUGUCCUAUGUUGACCUUGAACUCACUAUUUGCUUGCCUCAAUAAACCUAAAAAUAAAACAAAAUACCACUACCAACAACAAAAAAAGCCUCUGGCCAAAACUCAUAGAAGAUUAACAUCCAAGUGUCCUUGACCACCCCAGGGGCUCCAGAACUGAGCACCCUGCUUUCAGAACAUCUCACAACCCUGUUUUGGAUAGUGGUUUGAAUGAGAGUAGCCCCCAUACACAUUAUAAUAUAUCUGAAUCCGGAGAGUGGAACUGUUUGAGAAGGAUUAGGGAAUUUGGCCUUUUCAGAGUGGGUGUGCCCUUGUUGGAGGAUGUCCGUCACUGGAAGUGGGCUUUGAGAUUUCAAUGCCCACCCAGUCCCAGUCCCUCUUUCUGCCUCCUACCUAUGGAUCAGCAUGCAAAACUCUCAGCUACUGCCCCAGUACCAUGCCUAUCUGCUUCCAGCCAUGUUGAUCAUGGACUCGCCCUUUGAAACCGUAAGCUAGCCCCAAGUAAAUGCUUUCUUUAAAAGAGUUACCUUGGUUGUGGUAUCUCAGUAACAGAUUGGGCCAGGUGAAGGGAAGCCCUCUAAGCAAUAAUGAUGCUCUGUAGGUGAAUGCCUGGCUCCCUUUCUGGCCUCUCCAAGUGCAACCUCCUUGAAGCCAAUCUAUGAUGCCUUCUGCCUCCACAGGGAGCAGGUGGCAUGAAGACCAAAGACAAAGGAGAAACUGGAUGCUAGGGGUACAUGGUUGAUAAGUCCAUUCUGUAGAGGAAGGAAAAAACUUUCUAGACAGGAAACAUGGAGUGGUCAACAGAACUGGAAGCCAGAGAAGUGAAGAUAGGGCCCAUGGAGGAUGAGCAGCAUAGUACACACCAUGUUUUUACCGGAAGAAGCGGUAUCCAGGAAGCUACAGCCUCCCACCGGCUGCUACCCCUACCCUCAUGGUACUACAGAGCCUCCCUAGACAAUGCCAAGGAUUGAAGUGAAAAUUUCUAGUUUCUUUGGAGACUCAGUUGUGUCAGUGAUGUUUUUAUGGAAACUGUCUUGUAAGAGGAUGUUUUGCUGAAGCAGACAUGUGAGAGGAUGUUUUUGCAAGCAGACACAUGGGAGGAUGUUUUGCUGAGAACAGAUGCAUCUUAUUUUUCUGGAAGCUGCCUGGGAAAAGGACAUGUGAUGUGUUGCUAGAGUGGAUGCUUGAGAGGACACACGAUGUUUGGAAAGAAUAUCAGUAUAACCCAACAGACAGUGGAUGAUGCUGUGGUAUUGGUUCGCCUUGCCACUCUUUGCUGGCCUUUGUUGGGCUGUCCCAAUGCUGGUCUUCACGGGUGACACUGUGGCAUUGGUAGCACUGGUUUGACUUGACUUCUUCACUGACUUCGUAGAAAGAAAUGCACCAAAGAACUUCUUGUGAUAUUCUGGUGGCUUUUUGCCAUUUCUGCCAACUCUGGCUAAUUGGCAGAGCCUUGAGGUUUCUUCUGGAUCAAACUCCAUUGCUAACUGGCAAGUGGUGGUUGUAAGUAGAUCAAGCUACCGAUACUGAUUCGUGUGAACUAUGCUACUGAUAUUCUGACAAAGAAGAUUGGAAUUGCUUGAAAAAACUGUUUCUAAACAGGUCCACAUCUUCCUUUACCCUAUUAACCUUUCCUUUCUACUACCU